UCUCGCGCCUGGUCAUCUUUAGAUGCCCUCGUGUAUUUUUUGUUGAGAACCGCCCCACCCCUUUCCCCACUCCCUCACGGUUCUCACUUUCUCAAACCCUAACCUGAUAAUUUCCCUCUUUCUCCAUAUUUCGGAAGUUCCAGAUCUACAUCUCUAAUUAAGCUCUUUCAAUCCAUUUUCCUCCUUUUCAUCUCCUUGAAUGUAAUGCAAUUAAUUUCUCACUCGGUUUUCUUGCUUUUGGGAUUCCAGAUUCUCACAUAUGGAAAAUUCUCUGCCUGCCUUAAAUCUUGUUCUCAUGGCGGUCAGGUCAGGUCAGGUCAGGUUUUGAUGAUUCGGGAAAUCAGCUGAUUCGGGAAAUCAUAUAAAAAGCAAGGGCGAUUUUUAUCCCCCUUUCUCUUAGAUCUAUUAUCCAUGGAGGUGCAGGUUUCAUAUUGUGCAAGUGCUGCUAGAAUUCAUGCCACAUUAGUGCAAAAGAAAAGCAUGUUUAUACCUACACUUAUUAGGUUUUCUUUUGACAAAGGGACGAUGAAAAUGGAUGAUGUUGCUACCAUUGGUGUGACAUUCGGUUCAUUGUCUUUAUCUCUGAGCUGGAAUAUUCAUUUGCAAAAAAGGCAAGGACACUAGGCUGCUAAAGUUUGAAGGUGUUAGAAAAUUGCAAAAGCAACCGAGACAUUACUGGGUUAUAACACUAUGGCUCCAUACAUCUGACCCCAAACCUGCCUAAGACAGAAACCUUACUAGAGGUAUCGAUGCAAUGGUAAUGACCUCAGGCAGGCUUUAAGAUUCUAGCAUUCUUGCUCAAUCAAUUUGGAGGCAAAGUACCUGGCUCAAUUCCCGAGAUUAAGAAUUUGCGUUUACAAGAUUCAAAGCUGAAUACCACCUUUUUUGUAAGUCAUAGUUUACAGUUCCUCAAGUUCAGUGCUGAGGAGUUUGUAGUUACUUGGUCAAGUGGAAUUACGAGAUGUUUUGGUGGACCUCAGGCAGGUUAGCAAUACACACCAACAACAUCCCCUCUCCGGAUUAAGGCGUUUGGUGUUGUUUUCAGCUGCACAGGUGCUGCUUCUUGCUGUUGCAGGGUGUGGGUUGUGCUCCUGGUGUGUGCAGGCUGUUCUGCAGGGAGUCCAGGUGCUGCAAGUCUUCAGGGAGUGUGGUGUUCGAUUGCUGCUGUGUGCAAUCUUGUGUUGUGUACCCUUUUAUUGUGUCUCUUGUGUUUACUCCUCUAACGUUUUCUGUUGUUUCGUUGUCUAGAUGCUUUUGUUCAUACCUUUUGGUAUUAAAUUUGUGUUUUGGAGAUAAAUAGCUAGCUAAUUUGAUAGUUUGUACAUGUGUAAACUUAAUUUGAUGAUAUGAUAUGAUUUGGAGCGAGCUAAGUACGUAUUAUUGCAUAUA